rfam:Aedes albopictus isolate Foshan contig306354, whole genome shotgun sequence.
CAAACGGUUCUUUUCAGAACCAUCGA